UAAGUAGGUAGUGAAAGCGUGUGGCUCAACCAUACACACAUUACCUAAACUGCUUUAGCUAGAGGAUGAGAGAGGUUAUUGGAAUUCCCUGUGUAGGAGUGAAAUCCGUAGAUAUAGGGAGGAACACCGAUGGCGUAGGCAGAUAACUGGCUCAUUCCUGACACUAAGGCACGAAAGCGUGGGGAGCAAACGGGAUUAGAUACCCCGGUAGUCCACGCCGUAAACUAUGGAUGCUA
rnacentral:rRNA from 1 species